AAGUCGUAACAAGGUUUCCGUAGGUGAACCUGCGGAAGGAUCAUUAAAAAUCUAACAACCACAAUGGGGGAGGGGAGUGGCCGAGGGUGGCGAGGGCAUUUGGCAGAGGCAAUGGGGAGGACAAUUUGGCAGAGGAUUUGCGAGGACAAUUUGGGCGACACCUGAAACUUGCUAAAAAUUGGCGUAUGGGACGCAAAAUUAUGGUAAAGCCAGGACAUGCAAGAGUAAUCGGAUUUCAUCCGUCUCUCUGCAAAACACAUGUUGGUUGAGCAUUAAUCACCAGUACAACUUUUAACAAUGGAUCUCUAGGCUCUU
rnacentral:misc_RNA from 1 species